CGACUAAGUGACUUAGAUUUAGCAUAAUAAGACUAUGCGACAUAAUAUUGGCGCUUGGUCGCCUUAUGCAAAAACGGAAAUCGGCGGGAUUUUGGCAGCAUUGUUUCCGUCUUGUUAAUUUGUUAAUUCAGUUCAGUCUGUUGAGCAAUAUAAAAAGUGUCGCGUUAUAUUUUUUAUAAAAGUUGUGUUUAAAAGUGUAAAAAAGCGUGUAAAUAUGUUGCAGAGGACUGCUCUAAUUUUAAACCGUGCUCGAGAAAUAACAAACGAGGAGAAGGUAAGUUAUUUUGUAUUGUAAAAAUUACCAGACAUUAUUUUUGAGGUGUAAAUUAAAAACUUAAAUUUUUACAGUAGUUUUGUUUAUCUUUAUUUACUUUAUUUAUAGGAAGAAGGUAUUCGGCAAGAAACAAGUUCGCUUCAGACUUAUACCAACUUAGAACCGUUACAGGAAGUUGAUUUUAACUCAGCAACAGAUAUUAGUGAGAAAGAAAGUACUCAUACAGCAGCUGUUUCCCCAAAGACUUACAGCGAUUUACAAACGGUUCGGGAAGUGGAAUUUAAUCUAAAAUUACCAGACAUAAUUUAUGAGGAAGGAAGUAAUUCGGAUGGAUAUUCAAACAAGGAAAAUGAAAUAGGUGACGUAAG